rnacentral:rRNA from 1 species
AUUGAACGCUGGCGGCAUGCCUUAUACAUGUAAGUCGAACGGUAGAGGGGGCCACCCCUCGAGAGAGGAGAACGGGUGAGUAAUAUAUCGGAACGUGCCCAGUCGUGGGGGAUAACGUAGCGAAAGUUACGCUAAUACCGCAUACGAUCUACGGAUGAAAGCGGGGGAUUGCAAGACCUCGCGCGAUUGGAGAGGCCGAUAUCAGAUUAGGUAGUUGGUGGGGUAAAGGCUAACCAAGCCAACGGACUGUAGCUGGUCUGAGCGGACGACCAUGCACACUGGAACUGAAACACGGUCCCGACUCCUGCGGAAGGCAUCUGUGCGUAAGUUUGGACAAAGAACGCACGUCUGAUCCAGCCAUUCCGCCUGCAGGAUGAAGGCCCUCGGGUUGUAAACUGCUUUUGUACGGAACGAAAAGGUUUCCAUUAAUACUGGGAGCUCAUAACGGUACCGUAAGAAGAAGCACCGGCUAACUACGUGCCAGCCGCCGCAGUAA